GAUGAACGCUGGCGGCGUGCCUUAUACAUGCAAGUCGAGCGAACACACGAGGACCUUGCUCCUCUGACGUUAGCGGCGGACGGGUGAGUAACACGUGGAUAACCUACGUAUAAGACUGGGACAACUCCGGGAAACCGUUGCUAAUACCGGAGAAUAUAUUGAAACGCAUGGGUCACUAGUGAAAGACGGUUUUGCUGUCACUUGUAGAUGGAUCCGCGCCGUAUUAGCUAGUUGGUAAGGUAACGGCUUACCAAGGCGACGAUGAGUAGCCGCCCUGAGAGGGUGAUCGGCCACACUGGAACUGAGACACGGUCCAGACUCCUACGGGAGGCAGCAGUAGGGAAUCUUCCGCAAUGGGCGAAAGCUUGACGGAGCAACGCCGCGUGAGUGAUGAAGGUCUUCGGAUCGUAAAACUCUGUUAUUAGGGAAGAACAAAUGUGUAAGUAACUAUGCGCGUCUUGACGGUACCGAAACAGAAAGCCACGGCUAACUACGUG
rnacentral:rRNA from 1 species